CAUACUCGUAUACUUUUCUGGGAAAAUCCACAUCAUUCAAAAAUUUCUGGAGAAAAACAUCAAUAAUAAAAACAUAAGCAAAACCUAUAAAAGAAACUUGAAUCAAUCAACUCAAAACCAGUUCAGAAGUUCUUUUCAAUUUGAUCUGAUCAAAUACGCUAGGUUGUACAAGUAAAUACUCAUAAUAAGAUGAUUUUUUUUAAGUUAAUACUUACUUUUGCAUUAUUCUUGUGCGUCUCUUCGAUGCCGGCAAACUUCGAUGAUAUCAAUUUUGAUAAAGCAGAAAAUUUGCUGACAAAUGGAAAUCCUGAAAACAUCUUCAAUGAGGUAAAUGGAUUUGAGAGACACAAUUUUGAAAUUCCAACACUUCAAAGGUUCACACGCCAGCGGCGCCCUCCAUGUCCACUAAAGCCCAAAUUGGAUGGACGUCAUGUUAUUUACGUUCCUGAUUGCAGUUAAAUAAAGAAUUAAAUUGUUUAACGUAGCAUAAAAAUAUGUUUAAAUAAGUUUGAAAUAAAACAAAUGAAUAUA